AUUGAACGCUGGCGGCAUGCCUUACACAUGCAAGUCGAACGGCAGCACGGGUGCUUGCACCUGGUGGCGAGUGGCGAACGGGUGAGUAAUAUAUCGGAACGUACCUUAUCGUGGGGGAUAACGCAGCGAAAGCUGCGCUAAUACCGCAUACGCCCUGAGGGGGAAAGCGGGGGACCGUAAGGCCUCGCGCGAUUAGAGCGGCCGAUGGCAGAUUAGGUAGUUGGUGGGAUAAAAGCUUACCAAGCCGACGAUCUGUAGCUGGUCUGAGAGGAUGAUCCGCCACACUGGGACUGAGACACGGCCCAGACUCCUACGGGAGGCAGCAGUGGGGAAUUUUGGACAAUGGGCGAAAGCCUGAUCCAGCCAUGCCGCGUGAGUGAAGAAGGCCUUCGGGUUGUAAGACUCUUCGGCUGGGAAGAAUCGCACAGGCUAAUACUCUGUGUGGAUGACGGUACCAGCACAAGAAGCACCGGC
rnacentral:rRNA from 1 species